UACAGAGGGUGCGAGCGUUGUCCGGAAUCACUGGGCGUAAAGGGCGCGUAGGCGGCCUGAUAAGUCGGGGGUGAAAUCUUGCGGCUCAACCGCAAGGCUGCCUUCUAAACUGUCAGGCUGGAGCACGGUAGAGGCAGAUGGAAUUCCCGGUGUAGCGGUGGAAUGCGUAGAGAUCGGGAAGAACACCAGUGGCGAAGGCGGUCUGCUGGGCCGUUGCUGACGCUGAGGCGCGACAGCGUGGGGAGCAAACAGG
rnacentral:rRNA from 1 species